UACGUAGGGUGCGAGCGUGUCCGGAAUUAUUGGGCGUAAAGAGCUUGUAGGCGGUUUGUCGCGUCUGCCGUGAAAAUCCGGGGCUCAACCCCGGACUUGCGGUGGGUACGGGCAGACUAGAGUGUGGUAGGGGAGACUGGAAUUCCUGGUGUAGCGGUGAAAUGCGCAGAUAUCAGGAGGAACACCGAUGGCGAAGGCAGGUCUCUGGGCCACUACUGACGUGAGAAGCGAAAGCGUGGGGAGCGAACAGG
rnacentral:rRNA from 1 species